AAGUUAUUGCGCAUAAAACGGCAUUGUGGUUGCUGUUUAGCCACGUUACCAUGUUUGUUGUGCAAAUAUGGGAGCUUCCGCGAUAGUGAAAUACCGCUACUGCAGGUGUCUUUUUACUUAUUCCGUCAAGUUGAGACUCAUACGACACAUAUGUUUUUGCCUUAAGGGGCUCCUCGGGGAGCUGAUCAAUGUGGAAGACACAGUCAGAAGGCGAGUUGGGCCGGGGUGGCGUGGCACAUCUGUGAAACAAUAGCGCAAGUGUCCCAAGGCAAGCUCAGUGAAAACAGAAAUCUCAUGCUAACUAACAGGGGAAGAGCUUGCUUGAUUUUGGUUUUCAGUAUGAAUACAAACUGUGGAAGCGUGGCCUAUCGAUCAUCUAGAUCGAGAGAAAAUUUCAGCUAGAGGUGUCAGAAAAAUUACCAAAGGGGGAACUGGCUUGUGGGAGUCAAGUGUUCAUAGAGCCGUUGCCUUUAGAUCCUUCGAUGUCGGUUUUUGUUAUCAUUGAGACGCAAAAUUCUCAAAGCGUCGGAUUGUUCACCCGCCAAUAGGGAACGUGAGCGGGUUUUAGACCGUCGUAAGACAGGUUAGUAUUACCAAACUGAGAAAUCAGGAACUGCGACAGUACUCCAACUUAGUACGAGAGGAACAGAUGGUUCAGCUACUUGAUUAAUGGGGCUAGUUGAAAAACGCAACGUUACCAUCGGUUGGGUUAUGACUGAACGCUUGUCAGUCAGAAUCCAUGCUGGCUAUGCAACGCUUCUCGCCGCCUCAUUUGCUACUUGCGUGUCACUUUAAUGCAUAGGGAACAUCAUUUCACCAAACCUCUCCGCGAAAUGGGCGGAGCAAAAUCGCCGUUUCCCGCAAUUGUGGCGUAACAUCCACCGCAGACACCAUUGGCGCAACCAGGCAUUGUAAGUGCGAUAGUAGGCUUGACACACGAUCCUUCAGCAUUCAGCCUGCGUUGUAAGAUCU
rnacentral:ncRNA from 1 species